rnacentral:rRNA from 1 species
ACUGAGAUAUCUUAGUGGCGGACGGGUGAGUAACACGUGAGCAACCUGCUUUGAGAGAGGGAUAGCUUCUGGAAACGGAUGGUAAUACCUCAUAACAUAAUUGGGAGGCAUCUUCUGAUUAUCAAAGAUUUAUCACUCAAAGAUGGGCUCGCGUCUGAUUAGAUAGUUGGUGAGGUAACGGCUCACCAAGUCGACGAUCAGUAGCCGGACUGAGAGGUUGAACGGCCACAUUGGGACUGAGACACGGCCCAGACUCCUACGGGAGGCAGCAGUGGGGAAUAUUGCACAAUGGGGGGAAACCCUGAAUGCAGCGAUGCCGCGUGGAGGAAGAAGGUUUUCGGAUUGUAAACUCCUGUCUUAAAGGACGAUAAUGACGGUACUUUAGGAGGAAGCUCCGGCUAACUACGUGCCAGCAGCGGC